GACGAACGCUGGCGGCGUGCCUAAUACAUGCAAGUAGAACGCACAGUUUAUACCGUAGCUUGCUACACCAUAGACUGUGAGUUGCGAACGGGUGAGUAACGCGUAGGUAACCUGCCUGGUAGCGGGGGAUAACUAUUGGAAACGAUAGCUAAUACCGCAUAAUAUUGAUUAUUGCAUGAUAAUUGAUUGAAAGAUGCUAUUGCAUCACUACCAGAUGGACCUGCGUUGUAUUAGCUAGUAGGUGAGGUAACGGCUCACCUAGGCGACGAUACAUAGCCGACCUGAGAAGGUGAUCGGCCACACUGGGACUGAGACACGGCCCAGACUCCUACGGGAGGCAGCAGUAGGGAAUCUUCGGCAAUGGACGAAAGUCUGACCGAGCAACGCCGCGUGAGUGAAGAAGGUUUUCGGAUCGUAAAGCUCUGUUGUAAGAGAAGAACGGGUGUGAGAGUGGAAAGUUCACACUGUGACGGUAUCUUACCAGAAAGGGACGGCUAACUACGUG
rnacentral:rRNA from 1 species